rnacentral:tRNA from 1 species
AGGCGGUUAGUCCAAGAAAGAUUACUGAUUUCGACUUAGUAGAUUGUGGUUAAAGUCCACGACCGUCUU